UAGUACUUAGCCAUUAUCUUUGCACAAAAAUUACACUAGAAUGCCAUUGAAUUUAUAAUAAUCCGAAAAUUCUUUGUUAAAAUUUUAUUUUUGGUAAUUUAACAUAUAUUUACCUAAUUAGUUAAAUACUCGCUUGAUUUAGUUUCUCCCCUAAAUCUCUUUGUAGUCUUUACGAAUCUGAGCCAAAAUCCUUGAUCAAAGAAAAAGAAGAGCAACCAUAAUAUUCUAGAUCUCACUAGCUUCCAAUUCCGGUCUCCACAGUCUCGAUUUGGUCGAAUUGCCACUGACCCUGUCUGAACUCGACCUUGCAACGGAAUUGGACUCGAUGAUUGAUCGCUCUCUUUGCUGAUGAAAAUUUCUCUUCGCUAUAGCCUUAUUAGCAGUGAUAUUAUCUCAAGAGUUUGGAGAUAGUGGAGAAAAUAAACAAAAUCAGAUGGUUUUGUAUUGAAGGUUUUGGUAAAUAAUAAAAAAAAUCAAGUAUUGAGAGGUCCAAGACAAAAAGAUCAAGAAAAUUUGUGAUAGAAAUUCAGAUCCUUAAAGAACUGUUGGAAAUGUGGGCGAAGAAGCCUGAAACGAAAUCCUCAUUUCCACCAACAAGCAUCUCAUUGCUUCGGGUUCCAGUGGUAGCUGUACUUUGAACGAUUCUAACCUUGGUGAUACCUCUUGUGUUGUAAUACCAGCUGAGCAGAGUAUAUUGUUGUAGUUGGCGAUGAAGUUGAAGUAAAGAUUUUAGUGGCAAAUAGUAAAUUUGCAGAGCAUAUGAAGGAAGCAGAAGCUGAGAGUGAACAUGCAAAGUCAAAGACCAUGUCAGAGCAAAACAGUGUCAUCAAAUAUUUAAUGUUAGAGAUGUGUUGUUGGAGGUCAUAAGAGAGAACCAGGUGGUAGUGGUGGCAGGUGAAGCUGGUUUGGGAAAGACCACUCAGGUUACUUGCAGGUCGGGUAAAGAAUAAUAAUAGAUAUGCAGUUUAAUAUAUGUCCAAAGCACCAUGUUAUAUUAUUGAGGACACUGCACAAGUAUAAAAACUGCCAAUCAACUGAGAAGUUAAAAUAUUUUAGGUACAGAUUUCUCUUACGUGUGUCAAUCAACAUUUAGUUAUUGCCACAUUAGUUCUUAUUCAAGAUUUCUUGAGUAUGUCUAUCUCUUUCGUGUCCUAUUUUCACAUUAAAGCAUUCU